AGGACGACGCUGGCGGCAUGCCUUACACAUGCAAGUCGAACGGCAGCACGGGGCAACCUGGUGGCGAGUGGCGAACGGGUGAGUAAUAUAUCGGAACGUGCCCAAUCGUGGGGGAUAACGUAGCGAAAGUUACGCUAAUACCGCAUACGAUCUACGGAUGAAAGCGGGGGAUCGCAAGACCUCGCGCGAAUGGAGCGGCCGAUAUCAGAUUAGGUAGUUGGUGGGGUAAAGGCUCACCAAGCCAACGAUCUGUAGCUGGUCUGAGAGGACGACCAGCCACACUGGAACUGAGACACGGUCCAGACUCCUACGGGAGACAGCAGUGGGGAAUUUUGGACAAUGGGCGCAAGCCUGAUCCAGCCAUUCCGCGUGCAGGAUGAAGGCCUUCGGGUUGUAAACUGCUUUUGUACGGAACGAAACGGUCUGCCCUAAUACGGCGGGCUAAUGACGGUACCGUAAGAAUAAGCACCGGCUAACUACGUG
rnacentral:rRNA from 1 species